UGGGGAAUCUUGCACAAUGGGCGAAAGCCUGAUGCAGCAACGCCGCGUGCGGGAAGAAGGCCCUCGGGUUGUAAACCGCUUUCAGAAGGAACGAAACUGACGGUACUUUCAGAAGAAGGUGCGGCCAACUACGUGCCAGCAGCCGCGGUGACACGUAGGCACCAAGCGUUGUCCGGAUUUAUUGGGCGUAAAGAGCUCGUAGGCGGUUCAGUAAGUCGGGUGUGAAAACUUUGGGCUUAACCCAAAGCGUGCAUCCGAUACUGCUGUGACUUGAGUACGGUAGGGGAGCGGGGAAUUCCUAGUGUAGCGGUGAAAUGCGCAGAUAUUAGGAGGAACACCGGUGGCGAAGGCGCCGCUCUGGGCCGAAACUGACGCUGAGGAGCGAAAGCAUGGGUAGCAAACAGGAUUAGAUACCCAGGUAGUCCCUGAGCGGGCUGGCAAGGCGCAU
rnacentral:rRNA from 1 species